rnacentral:tRNA from 1 species
GGGGAUAUGUGUCGAAUGCUAAAA